AUCGCAUGAUCCGGUGUGAAAAACUCCGGUGGUAUGAGAUGGACCCGCGUCUGAUUAGCCAGUUGGCAGGGUAACGGCCUACCAAAGCGACGAUCAGUAGCCGACCUGAGAGGGUGACCGGCCACAUUGGGACUGAGACACGGCCCAAACUCCUACGGGAGGCAGCAGUGGGGAAUAUUGCACAAUGGGGGAAACCCUGAUGCAGCGACGCCGCGUGAGCGAAGAAGUAUUUCGGUAUGUAAAGCUCUAUCAGCAGGGAAGAAGAAUGACGGUACCUGACUAAGAAGCACCGGCUAAAUACGUGCCAGCAGCCGCGGUAAUACGUAUGGUGCAAGCGUUAUCCGGAUUUACUGGGUGUAAAGGGAGCGCAGGCGGUGCGGCAAGUCUGAUGUGAAAGCCCGGGGCUCAACCCCGGUACUGCAUUGGAAACUGUCGUACUAGAGUGUCGGAGGGGUAAGUGGAAUUCCUAGUGUAGCGGUGAAAUGCGUAGAUAUUAGGAGGAACACCAGUGGCGAAGGCGGCUUACUGGACGAUAACUGACGCUGAGGCUCGAAAGCGUGGGGAGCAAACAGGAUUAGAUACCCUGGUAGUCCACGCCGUA
rnacentral:rRNA from 1 species